AGUGAAAGUAGAACCGGAGCUGCAGGCGGCGUGCGGGGUGCUGGGCCGAGCCGGGGCAGGCGCAGGGAGGCCCCUAGCCGAGGUCACCGUUUCUAUGCUCCUCUUAGAACACUGAACCUGGAUGAAAGGUCGCCAAAAGCCCAUCUUGAAACAUUUGAAGGCCCAAUCAGAGUGGGAUCAAGGGAAAUGUCUACACUUCUACAAGGAGCCAGUUUGGGAUCAGGAACUCCAGCUUGACAGUUUUUAAAAAGAAUCUUACCAAAUGCAACAAAGAGCUAACAAGAUGUUGAGGAAGGACAUUUGGGAUCACUUUGAAAGAAAUCUUGAAGUUGGAGUCCACAGCCAUCCAGAGGUGGAGAUCUUGGGGAACCCUAUCUGACUGUGGGAUGAGAGCCUUGGGGGCUACACCCCAGGAAUAAGGAUGAACCUGGAAGGAAAGAAGCCACUGCACAGACCGCAGACCAGCUCUAGGUCCUCAAGGAGGCCCUGAAGUUGGAUGGUGCUUCUGGCACCUGACAGAAGGAAGUGAAAAUCCUCUCUGGAGGAAAAUAACAUCAUCCUAGGCUCAGAUUUUCUCUAGAAAAGAAGACAUGCAGACACUAUGAUUCCCCCACUCUCAUCCAGAGGAAACUACAGAGCCUGCCUGUGAUUUUAUCCAAGAUAUGGAAAAGAGCUAGUUCCACGGAGUGAGUCUGAGUGUGCAGGAAUGUUGAGGGUGGAAAAACAAAGUUGUUGCAUCUAUGAAGAUCAAGUUGAAUAUUAUGGAAGGCCUUCAUAAAGUUGAGCAGAGUUGGAUGUGCGUGCAAUUGCAAAAGACAGAGGAAAAAAUCAAAAUGAACUACUUGAAGAAGAAGAAAGAAAGAUUUAGGAAAAUAAUAGAAAUAAAAUCAAUCAAAAUAAGUAGCUGCAGUUUGCUGAUAUUCUUCUGAACAGAACAUUGGGAAGAGACCCACGGAUGUGAUCAUUGUGAGUGUUUGAUGCUAUGGGAAGAAAUAAUUUUUCUAUUUUGCUGUUAUUACUAAAUUAUUGCUGCAUUGUGCUUAACUCAUACUGUGUAAGUCAUCUAAUGAAGAUUCAUUUCUAUCUAAUUUUUCGUUUUGAGAUAUAAGUGCUGAUAAUGCCAAGAAACAUGAGAUCAUAAUUGCCUAGUAAUAUGCAGUUUUUCAGACUCAUACUGAUUCAAAAUCUGAUUCAGGGACUUUUAUUUUUUAUUGAAUUAUUUUUACUGAAUAUUGUUGAUGUACAAUGCUAUGUUAGUUUCAGGUGUAUAGGAAAGUGAUUCAGUUUUCUGACCCUUUUCCAUUAUAGGUUAGUAUUGAAUACAGUUCCCUGUGCUAUACACACUAGGUCCUUGUUGUUUAUGUUAUAUAUAGCAGUAUGUAUCCUAACUUAUACUUCCCUCCCUACUUUUAAAUUUACAUUUUAAAGAAGCACUCCCACAUGAUUCUUAUGCAUACAGCCAAUUUGGAACCACCAGAAAAAGGGCUUUUAGUAAUCGCUAUAUGUUGUGAGCCACACGAGAAGUCCAGUAAUCGCUGUAUGUUAAACACUUCCAGAUCUUAAGGAAUACUGUAAAGCUGUUAGGAGUACACAGGUGGUUGAGAACUUUGCUUUGCUAUCAGUGAAAAAGGCAGCUCUAUGAUAUUGUCUGUGGCUUGAGGUAUAAUUAUGACAUUGCCUGCUGAGAAAGGCAAAACCAUUCUGUUGACAAUCCCAGAAGGCUCAAAGGUAACUGGAGUUGCCAAGUAGGUUACGAAAAGCAGCUUUGCUUUGGGGGUUGUUGAGUGAUUCUUGCCGCAGAUGGGGUUUUUAGGGCCUUAUCAAGUUCCCUGAAGGCACCGAGACAGGACAUUUCCCCCAUUAAGUGGUAUGAAUCACUACAGGGAUCAUGAAAAACACAAAUGAAAGCCAGAUAGAAGUGCAAAUGCGGGUCUCAAAUAUUGAUCCUGUGGUCAGAAUUUCCUAUGAUACAUCUUUUAUUCUUAUUUCAUUUUAUUUAUAUGAAACCAUGCUUAAAAAAAAAAACCCGCCAGAUGCUUUUAAAUUUUGUAUUGCUCAUUUUUCUAUUAUUUGGUGACUCUAUGUAUAUGAUUUUAAAAUCUAAGUUUAUAGUGUGCUCUUUUCCUGUAUAACCAUGUUUUAAAGUGUACAAUGACAGCUAAGUUCAGUUGUAGAAACAUCAAUAAAUCCUCCAGAGCCAGCAGUAGCAAGGCUCAGCAGUAAGGAAGGCCCAUCCUCCUUGUUAGUUUCUACCAACCUCAUUAGCUAGAUCAGGGUCUCCAAAAGGAAGAGCCAGGUCUGUGGAAACACCCUAUCCAUGAGCUCCCCAGGCAGACAGGUGGCUCUCAGGGGAUCCGUUUCCAGAACCUCAAUCAUACAUAACAUAUCUCAACAUUAUCUGAGAACCUCCCAAGGUUCCACCUUUGCUUCACUUGACAAAGAAAGGCUAACCUCUCUCCAAGGCUAAUCUUACUAUGAUGCAAUUCCUAGAUUAAGAAAACCUCCAUGAUGCAAAUAAAGAGAAAUGUGAACUAUUUUGCUGAUAUUGAGAAAAUGAAUGCCUCUAAUGACUAACAUAUCCUUUUUCAUUUCUAAAUGACUUCAAAAUCUUUGCUUUCAGCAAAAUUGAAGGAAUACUAACCAAUAGAUAAUUAAAAAUGCUUCUUGGAUUCCACUGUGGCUCAGUAGAAACGAAUCUGACUGGUAUCCAUGAGGAUGCGGGUUUGAUCCCUGGCUCUGCUCAGUGGGUUAAGGAUCCAGCAUUGUGGUAAGCCAUGGUGUAGGUCACAGACAUGGUUUGGACCCCAAGUGGCUGUGGCUUAGGCCCAUGGCUGCAGCACCAAUUUGACCCCUAGCCUGGGAAUGUCCAUGUGCCACAGGUGUGGCCCUUAAAAAAAAACACUUCUUGAUAGAUUGUUGUGUGAUGUUUGGCAUGCAAGUGGCAAGGAAUUGAAAGAAUUGAGUGAUUUUACCAGAACAAAAUUCACUACAGUCUCAACUCACUGACAUGAACAAAUUUCCUGAGCCACUUACAUAAAAAAUAAUUUAAAAGAGCAAUGAAAUUGAUGUGGAAUUUUCAUUUAUACUUAUAUAUAUUUUUUUGUUUCAGAAAAUCAAGAUUGGUUAAAGACUGUCAAUCACAAAAUAUUUUAGGAUAAAUUCUGGGGACAAAGUGAAGUGGGGAGGAAGGAAGAAAUUUUGAACUUUUAAAAAAGAAUGUUUUCAACUUUUCAGUAUAGAUAUGACAGCAUCAAAUCUUUGUGACAUUUACAUCCCACUGGACAUAUUUUCAAAUGUAAAGUUAAAGUAAUAAAUGUCAGUA
rnacentral:lncRNA from 9 species